GAGAGAGAGAGAGAGAGAAAGAGUAAGAUCAACCAUGCUCAUAAUAUGAAAUUAAGUUCUUCAAGUCCAUUAAGGUCAUAGCACAAAGGGGGCUCCAUUUGUAGCAUUCACAGUGAGGAAGAAUUUAUCAACUAAUAAGAGAAAUUAUUUGGCAAAGUUGCACUUAAAUUAAGAUGGUGCUAAUUUCCUAAAACUUCUUUCAGGUUUCAAAGUGAAAGGUCUAGAAGUCAUAUACUAUUUUGUAAUUUUAGAUCUAUAGACCCUUUUUCCUUGUGCAACAGCUAUUCUUAAACCCCCAUCUUCUAUACUAUUGGCUUUUCAUGAUGCAGAAUCACUAUCUUGACAGAAUAAAAAAUCAACUAAACAUUUCUUAUUAAUUUACAAUUACAAUGUUAAAUGAGAGGCAACUUAAGUUGCACACUAAGAAAUGUAGCUUGACAUUUGCAACUCCAUAAAUCAGUCUAAAAUUUAUUAUUGUUCCAGGAGGUUUUAGAAAGUGAUUCCCCAUAAUUUUCACCAGACAGAAUAAAAGAACAAAAAUUAUGCAGAGUCGGAAAACUAGAUAGCACUAGCUACAUAACAGACGGUAAACCAAAAAAUCUUCAAGCUUAUGUAACCCCAAUCAUGAGGAAAAUGGAGGCAUACCAAAGAAUCAGUGUAACAUGUAUGCACUUUAAAAAUUUUUGUUUUACCUUAAAUUAC
rnacentral:misc_RNA from 1 species